ensembl:lncRNA
AAAAAGGUGUAACAGGACAUACGCCAUACUUUUUUUUUGUUUUGUUUUGUUAUUCGUUUUUUUUAUGAACACACCUGGCUGCACCACUGAUCACACCACUUUGCUGAUUUUUUCAGUCACUUCCUGCCCAUUAGUCUGAUUAUUCCCACUUUACCCAUUCCCUUUUCUCUAAAUGAGAAAAAAGAGGGUCAAACAAAGAUGGCACUUUGAAGCCUCCUCUGAUUAGAGCCUGUAAACUUGUUUUCUAUAUUUUUAAAGUGAUAAUUCCCUCCCCCUUAAAACAAUCUCGAGCACCUACCCCUUUAAUGGAAGCCUUAGAUCGUUAUCAAAGAGCUAUUUGCUCGCAUGUAAUAUUUUAAUUAGAUUAUAGCCUCUAUUUAACCCAUCAUGUCCGCUUUGAUGCUCCGUUGUUUUCGGCGUCAAGCCUCCUCGCGCGAGCCUCAUAAACGCACAGCCUUUUGAAUUAAUGAGACUUUCCUGACCGACUCGCUUUACGUUGCGCUCUCUCUCUCUCUCUCUCUCUCUCUCUCUCUCACACACACACACACACACACACACACACACACGCACUCUCUUUCGUGCCUUAGAAAUCGGUUAAUUGAAGGAGUCUCUCUCACUCUCUCUCACUCUCUCUCUAUCAAGAAAGAGGUUGCAUUAGCAUCCCGUUCUUUUUUUUGGGCCCAGGCUUUGAUGUGCGCGCGGCGCCACGGCCUUUGCAAAUGAGCUGAUGAGGCCGCCAUUAGAGAGAGCGGCGCUCUAAUCGAACGCUUAAUCUUUUAAUUGAUCACCUUCCGCACGGCCUGCUCGCUCAGCCAGCUUUUACAAAUUUAUUUAUUUAUUUAUUUAUUUAUUUACUCAUUCCUAGAAUCCAAACGGCAUUACGAGUUGUUUUUCGAAGGCUAAAAGUCUGCACAUAUCCCGAGGAAGAAGGAAAACAAAAAAUAAACACGUCCCCUAUUAAAGCCUUGAAAUGAGCGAGAGCUUUCAUCCUGUUGCACACGUUGUUAUCUGAUACUAAUGGCGACAAAAAACAAAGAUUUUAUUUUAUUUUUAAUUUUAUUUAGUUUUAAAUUUAAGCUUUGGAUACGAUCAAAUGUAUUUUAUGGAAGAUUUUUUUGGAGACUUGUGUUAUGUAUAGCUCUCUCAUGUUUCAUAAUUAAUAAAUGCACUCAUUACAUUUA